GCCUAGUUCAACUCGUUGCCUUUGCCAACCAGAGCGCACUAGUCAACCACGUAAAGUCUCUGUGAGCUACAAGGGCGGACUCUGGGCCGAAGGGCUACUGGUACGUACUUUUAGUAUCCGCCCUUAGGCCGGAUGGUUUGGUUGUAGCUCGCUAACAUAAUUAAGCGAAUACCUCCUUCGGUUCCCCCUUUAGGGGACGAACCCUAACGGAGUGGGGCGUGCGCUCUGGUUUAUCGAAGCCAACAAAGCAGCUGAGACUGCAAGCCACGAAGGCACAAGGAAGGCCUUGCUGUGCUUGUGGAGGCCGAAGGCUCAGUCUGUGCGCGCGCACAGGACGUUGGCUUAGAAUUAAGCCUAGUUGUAAACGACAUUCCACAAGACCUUGUUGCUUCGUUGUGAGUAAGUCGGAGUCCAACCAGGGGCUUAGCCCCUUUACUUCCUUGUCUUCAUCCCCUUUAGUGCUCUUCUUCUUCCCCUUUAGGGGAACUAAAGUUCCCCUAAAGGGGAACUUUAGUUCCCCUAAAGGGGAUGAACUUUAGUUCCCCUUUAGUUCUUCCCCUUCGUUUUCUUCCCCAAAGGGGAACCCCUUCUUCAUCCCCUUUAGUUCCCCUAAAGGGGAUGAACUAAAGGGGACUCCGUCCCCUUUAGUUCCCCGUAGGGGAUGAAGAAGGGGAACACCCCUUCGUUUUCUUCCCCUUUGGUUCAUCCCCUUUAGGGGAACUAAAGGGGACGAACCCCUUCUUCCCCUUUANNN
rnacentral:lncRNA from 1 species